rnacentral:rRNA from 1 species
AGCGAACGCUGGCGGCAGGCUUAACACAUGCAAGUCGAGCGGGUGUAGCAAUACAUCAGCGGCAGACGGGUGAGUAACGCGUGGGAACGUACCUUUUGGUUCGGAACAACCCAGGGAAACUUGGGCUAAUACCGGAUAAGCCCUUACGGGGAAAGAUUUAUCGCCGAAAGAUCGGCCCGCGUCUGAUUAGCUAGUUGGUGAGGUAAUGGCUCACCAAGGCGACGAUCAGUAGCUGGUCUGAGAGGAUGAUCAGCCACAUUGGGACUGAGACACGGCCCAAACUCCUACGGGAGGCAGCAGUGGGGAAUAUUGGACAAUGGGGGCAACCCUGAUCCAGCCAUGCCGCGUGAGUGAUGAAGGCCCUAGGGUUGUAAAGCUCUUAUGUGCGGGAAGAUAAUGACGGUACCGCAAGAAUAAGCCCCGGCUAACUUCGUGCCAGCCGCCGCAGUAAAAC